AGUGAACGCUGGCGGUAGGCCUAACACAUGCAAGUCGAACGGCAGCACAGUAAGAGCUUGCUCUUACGGGUGGCGAGUGGCGGACGGGUGAGGAAUACAUCGGAAUCUACUUUUUCGUGGGGGAUAACGUAGGGAAACUUACGCUAAUACCGCAUACGACCUACGGUUGAAAGCAGGGGAUCUUCGGACCUUGCGCGAUUGAAUGAGCCGAUGUCGGAUUAGCUAGUUGGCGGGGUAAAGGCCCACCAAGGCGAUGAUCCGUAGCUGGUCUGAGAGGAUGAUCAGCCACACUGGAACUGAAACACGGUCAAGACUCCUACGGGAGGCAGCAGUGGGGAAUAUUGGACAAUGGGCGCAAGCCUGAUCCAGCCAUACCGCGUGGGUGAAGAAGGCCUUCGGGUUGUAAAGCCCUUUUGUUGGGAAAGAAAAGCAGCAGGUUAAUACCCAGCUGUUCUGACGGUACCCAAAGAAUAAGCACCGGCUAACUUCGUG
rnacentral:rRNA from 1 species